rnacentral:rRNA from 1 species
CGCAGCCCGGCCCGAAGGGUCAUAUUAGCGACCGGCGCGGCGGGAGCUGGUGAUCUCUCUAGGUACCGCACCUAGUGGUAGCGAAGGAAGUUGGGGAGGAGGGACUGGCCCGGUAUGUAGCGGCCGCCGCGGAGGGGUGCGAGGAGGCGGAUAGGGCUGACCCAGGAUGAGGCGUUCUGCCGCGCGUAGAGCCGCAAGGCCUUGCGCUGGUGGCGGCUCCCGGCGUGCCGGCUCCCGGCUCGGCAGCUCCACAGGAAGACCGAGCAGCUGGGCGGCCCGCAGAGGAUGAAGAGGCAGGUGACGGGGCCGGAGGUUCUCCUGCUGAAGAGGCCGCUCGGGGUCCAGCAGACGCGGCUCCGGCGGAAGCAGGAGAAGGCGCAGUCUAAGUCGAAGGCGUCGCUCUCCGCCUAGAGGUGGGUAGUGAAGCAGAUGUGCCGGGCGCCGCGGCGCCCCGGCGGGAGUGACGUUGAGGAGGGCCUCGGGGGGCCGCAGCUCCGGCAGUUUAGGGUGGUCGAACCGGAGAACGGCACGCCGCCGCUCGCGAUGCGCCAGCGGAAGGAGCUAGCGUUAACCUGACGGGCUCCACUGCGGACCGUCACCGUCAAGCUACGGAUGCAGAAGAGCAGUCUCUGUACAAGGACCUCGUUCUUCCUCCGGAGUUACCCGAAUAGCCUCAGACUGCGGCGUAACAACGCAGGGAUACGCUGGAGGUUCGUCUAGCGCCAGCCUCGUUCGCGCGACCCGACCCAACUAUAGAGUGCGCCGUAAUGAGAGGAGACGUUGGACAAGCUGCUCACAGGACAGCAUUUUAUGUAGGGGAAGGGCCGCGGUCCCCAAACGUAGUGUGGGAUGAUGGCAGAGUGAGCAGUGAGCCGCGUUACGAAGGUGCUACAGCGGACGAUACUGCCAGACUAGUUUAAGCAGCUCUAUCCGAAGCUACCUGGACUGACGUACUAUUUCCCAUUUCCGACCGCUCGGUGGUGUACCUAGUCUUUGUAGAGAACCCCUCCAACCGCGUUCGUGUGGUCUCAACUACAACGAUUGUAGAGCCAACUGGGUUCUAUAAGACGAGACAACGGACUCGACACCUUGGUACUCUGGGUAUUCGAUCUCGACUUCUUUGACCAAAAGAAUGAUGGGUGGGACUCGCACGCGUUGCUACUAGAAGAAGUGUAGUACCGGUUCCACCCACCCCUUGUACUGUUCCGGACCCAGUAGCGGCAACUGUACUUUUCAUGCCAACACCUCCCUGAUCGGGGCCAAAGCUGGCCUGCCAUGACGGGGUCAUGUUACAAGAGGGGUACACGGAAGGGGUCAAUGGAGUUGUUGUACUGGGUUCCAGACCAAUAAGACGGAAGAAAGAGGAGUAUGGAGUACAGUACACUAAACGAAUGGUAGUCCCGGCAUGGGUUCUUUUACCUCUGGGUCACGCUUUGGUUUUUAACCCGGGAGCACACACACACACACACACGCGCGCGCCCCCCACGAAAACGCACGCACACAAACGUACGCACGCACGUACGCUCACACAGUACAACCACCAUGUUUAAAACUUUCUUAACGUAGAAUGGUUCUUCGUUAGAUUCAUAAGUUUUCAUGUUGUAAGAAAUCGUCUUUGCACGGUAGGAAAGAUAGUAAGGAACUCUGUUUUAGAAGUUAAUUAACAAGUAUUUUUUGGAAAAGAUUUUUGUAUUGUACCUUUGUUUUACCCUACUUUGUUAGAAACUAACUAAAACCUUCGUGUAGUAGCGCGCUGCCGCGUACACCGAAGCCAUUCAGACCUACAUCCCGUACGGGUCAACGAGGAGGCCAAGAGGAGAACUACUUAUCCACUUGUUCGUGAGACCGGCCCGGAGGUUGAGGUUAGCUGCGUGGGUCUAGCAUCCCCGCCGUUGUUUGUAGUUUCCCAUAGUCUUCUUCGUCUCAUGACUUGGAACAUAGACAAGUAACGUUGUCGCCUGCAUAAGGUACGUUUAGCGCUGCUUUAAUUUGACGAAUUCGCCGCUAAACUUCUUGACCCGAUUCGGCGAGCGCGAUCUUUUCUUUCUCUUUCUCUUCACUUCUCUCUCUCUCUCUUUCGCCCCCGAACGCACUCAAAGCCGGUACACCUCGUCCCGGACCACAUCUCAAUUAAGACGGUGUCUAAGUCACCUCAUAAUACGGAGUAAUAAUUGGGUUGAUUUGGUCGUGAUUCAUUAUCAAAUUGUAUUUUUUAACCCCCGGGACAAGGCAGCUUGGAAGACGUGUGCUCAGUCCAUACCCGGACGAAUGGUAAUAUAGAACACUUGAGAACCAACCAAUUCAGAAAUGAAUCCUGUUGAUACAAAAUCCCCGACAAACAAAACACUGAUUGAAACGGUUUCUAACGAUGUGGAUUCCAAUCCGUUCAAACUGGUUGAAUCCACUCACAAACUAAAUUCGGUGUGGAAUCCGUUCAGUGUAAACCCGGGGUGUACCGUAUGUGUGUUUUUCACACCGUUCUAAGGGAAUCCGAACGGUUGAACACCGAGAGUAAAAUUACUUGAUUGGAAUCCGUUCAAACCGUUUUUACACACCGAUUCACACCGUUACGAUCAGGAUCUUGGUUUGUCGGGGAUUCAAAACUGUAAUAACCGUAAUCUGACAAACACAAGUAAUGUUAAAUCGACAAGUAGUUUGAACUUUUAGUAGUCGGUCAAGUCAUUGGAAGUACUCAAUUACAAAGUACAACACCAAUCAAUGGUCAUACGUUCCACUUUGUCGACGACUAUGACAGUUACGUCUCUCAGUUCUACUGAGUCCUAGAAACACUCUACUAACCAUGUAAUGAAGAAAAUAACCGUACCACGAAUACGCUACACUCCACCACUACUCGGUUGAGCAAGACAAGGAGUUUAGUUGGUCCCUUUUAAACGUAAAAUGAGACUUAACGUAUAAAGUCUCUGACAGUCAAACCAAGAAAAAACCGUUAAUAAUCCUUUGUUCGACCUUAUAUUGGUAAGUACCAUCUCUGACAGACGAACCGUAUCUCAGUUCUACGGAGUACUAAAGACACCUUACUAAUUAAACUAUUUAGGUGAGGAGCUUUAUGAUCAAGAAAUACCCUAACUAAACCAACAUUAUAUGGUGUAGAAGUCCACGUCUGUACGUACGAAUCUCAAAACUAAGUACCGUCUCUGACAGGAGUACUAAAGACACCUUACUAACCAUGUACUGAAGUUAUUAAUCACAGUACGAAUACCCCAAGCUUCGGCACUACACGGUUGAACAAGGCAAAGAGAUUAGUUUGUCCCUCUUGUGUAAAAUCAAACGUAAAAAGAGGGUCAACGUAAGCAACCGUCUGACAGUGACAGUAAAAAAAAAGGUUAAUCCUUUGUUCAGACUUCUUGGUGAGCAACCAACACUACCUCCUUAGAACCUUCUUCUCCUUUAAGUUCGGCUCUUGUCCUAUUCUCCCGGACUCUACCCGUUGGGUCACCUGUUAAUGAAAUUCUCCUACUCACGAAGUGUCACACGAGACGUUCACGACAAGUGAGUUGCGACCAAGUCCCUUGAACUACUUACCAACCCAAGAGUCCCCAGUCGAACACUACGUACGACGUUUAGUGAUGGAAUGACCACAGGUCGUAGUCGAGACACAAAGCUAUAACUCCGUCACCAUUUGAUACGAAGGAUAUUACCACUUCCUCUUCCACGAAGGUACCGACAUCUAAGGACGAAUGCUCGAAACCUGCUAAAGAUAUUUGAUGACUUCCUCAGUGGAGACUCACUAGGUAGUUGUUGACUUCGGUACUUCGCAGUUUAGUCCCAACGGGAACCUCGAGAUCUGUCGUAGAACCUUAAACAUGGUGAUUUGGCAUACGGGUCCUCGUAUGUUUUCCACGAACAUCUACAAACGGACCUUGUUUUUCUUUUUUGUGAUCAUACACUUGUGAACCUCUUCGGUCCGGUAUGUCUCCUACUUAGACUGCUUACCGUCGUUACCCCUAGUCUGAGCCCCCUGCUUAGCCUACUUACCGUCGUUCCCAGUAGGCUGAGCCUCCUACUUAGACUACUUACCGUCGUUCACCCUGGGCUGAGCCUACUGAGAGAUCUCUGAGCACCCCUCUUCUUCGUCCGUGUCCAAGACCCAGCGGCCAGCCCCAUGAGCAUAACCGACAUAAAACAACCGACGCAUAACCAUCGCCAGCGGCGUUCUCGCAACUCAGUGGAGUGAAAUUACAGUAUCUCGGUCAUAGAACAAUAAGAGAGACACUGUCUUCUCAUUAAUACAGUUAGUUUUUUCUUUUCUUUUCUUUUCUUUUCUUUUCUCUCUCGUAUAAGAUCGAUCCUCGAGGACACGGCACGUACAUUUUUCCAUCACAAAACCUUUGACCACAAUUUACUUCCUCCAAAUAUAACCACCACCAAUUACAUAGUCGGACUAGGGACCACGGUCGAAAAC